ensembl:lncRNA
AUGCCACGUUGCAGUGGUUGUGAUGCAAGUCACAAUUUCGGCUCAGAUUCUAUUCUGGCCUGGGAACUUCCAUACGCCAUGGGUACAGCCAUAAGAAAAGCAAGCAAGCAAGCAAUGUACUUUCGUGGAAGAAGAGAAAUAUCUCCUUCCAUGAAUCCCUUUAUAGGAGCAAUCAUUGGAAAAGGGAGCAGUACCAACAUAGAGAAGGAUGUUCAGAUAUGAUGGAGGCUGUGCCAGAAAGAAAGAAGGGAAAAUUACCUUCUAUUGUCAUUCAACAUUGUCUGCUUCACUUCCUACCCUUGGAGUCCUGUUGCUAAGCCAGACUUCUCGACAUAAUGAAACAUUCCUUCAUUCCAUGAAGAAUUUCUGUCUACAGUGUCAACAGCCUACAAUCUGGAGUAUUUUCAAUUAAUUCUUUAACUGAAAAUAAAUUGUAUAAUUUGGUCCUCCUUUACCA